rnacentral:rRNA from 1 species
UACAGAGGUCUCAAGCGUUUGUUCGGAUUCAUUGGGCGUAAAGGGUGCGUAGGCGGCGCGGUAAGUCGGGUGUGAAAUCUCGGAGCUUAACUCCGAAACUGCAUUCGAUACUGCCGUGCUUGAGGACUGGAGAGGAGACUGGAAUUUACGGUGUAGCGGUGAAAUGCGUAGAUAUCGUAAGGAAGACCAGUGGCGGAAGGCGG